rnacentral:rRNA from 1 species
GACGAACGCUGGCGGCGUGCUUAACACAUGCAAGUCGAACGGUAAGGCCCUUCGGGGUACACGAGUGGCGAACGGGUGAGUAACACGUGGGUGAUCUGCCCUGCACUUCGGGAUAAGCCUGGGAAACAGUGUCUAAUACCGGAUAGGACUCCGGCCUUCAUGGUCUGGGGUGGAAAGCUUUUGCGGUGUGGGAUGGGCCCGCGGGCUAUCAGCUUGUUGGUGGGGUGAUGGCCUACCAAGGCGACGACGGGAGGUCGGCCGGAGAGGGUGACCGCCCACACUGGGACAGAGAUACGGCCCAGACUCCUGCGGUAUGCAGCAGGGGGGAAUAUUGCACAAUGGGCGCAAGCCUGAUGCUGCGACGCAGCGUGAGGGAUGACGGCCUUCGGGUUGUAAACCUCUUUCAGCAUCGACGAAGCGAAAGUGACGGUAGGUGCAGAAGAAGGACCGGCCAACUACGUGCCAGCCGCCGCAGUAA